rnacentral:lncRNA from 1 species
CCAGUUAAGGACUGCUUCAAAAGGCUUGGGUUCUUCAAGAUGUCCACUGGAGGAAAUAGGAGAGUUGACAAAUGGUUUGCUCCAGACCUGGUGCUUUUGGUCUGAGCGUUUCUCAAGAGGUGGGUACUCAGAACUAUAAUCUGAGGCAGAGGCAGAUGAGAACAUCAUGCAGGACACCAUAGGAGGUGUAGGCAGAAGACCAGCCGAGGACCGGACUGGUUUGCAUGAUCUGGGCUGAUGUUUCUGGAUCCACUGAAGUCCUUUGUCGUAAAGUGGCAAAGGAGGUGGAUAAUCGGGUUCAUCAUCAUCAUCUUCGGGCAGAU